rfam:Triticum aestivum genome assembly, contig: Triticum_aestivum_CS42_TGACv1_scaffold_542924_6DS
UUAAUACUCCCUCCGUCUGAGAAAGCUUGUGCCAAGCUUGUUUCUCAAAUGGAUGUAUCUAGCACUAACUUGGUGCUAGAUACAUCCAUUUGAGGGACAAGCUUUUUCGGACAGAGGGAGUACAUC